UGGGGAAUUUUGCACAAUGGAGGAAACUCUGAUGCAGCGACGCCGCGUGAGUGAUGAAGAUCUUCGGAUUGUAAAACUCUGUCCUUAGUGAAGAUAAUGACAGUAACUAAGAAGCAAGCCCUGGCUAAAUACGUGCCAGCAGCCGCGGUAAUACGUAUGGGGCAAGCGUUGUCCGGAAUUAUUGGGCGUAAAGGGUACGUAGGCGGUUUAAUAAGUCCUAAUUAAAAGGCUAUGGCUCAACCAUAGUAUGGUUAGGAAACUGUUGAACUUGAUUAGAUGAGGGGAAAGUGGAAUUCCAUGUGUAGCGGUGAAAUGCGUAGAUAUAUGGAGGAACACCAAUGGCGAAGGCAACUUUCUGGAAUCAAACUGACGCUGAGGUACGAAGGCGUGGGGAGCAAACAGG
rnacentral:rRNA from 1 species